GCUGGACCUGAGGCUGCAGGCCAGUGUGUAGAAGCCGUCUCCGACCACAUGGAGUCCCAGACUACUUGGAGUGGUAGCACUCACACCCAUAACCCUAGUGCCCUCGGGCCUACACCCACCAUGAAUCAAUCACAGUCUAGAUUCAGCCACCUCUGAAAAAGCAUGAGGCUUUGGGGGACAUCCAAACACAAGCCCUAACAAUGAAUGUGCACAGACUUCAAAGAAAGUUCCAGAGAAAUGUAUUUAACUGGAUCUGAUCAGUCCUACAAACAGCAAAUUAUCUAAAUAAAACAGACAUUAUACCCACAAGUAUGUUUUCCAAGAUAUAUACACAUAUACACAUAUAUUGUGUAU